AACGAACGCUGGCGGCAUGCCUAACACAUGCAAGUCGAACGAGACCUUCGGGUCUAGUGGCGCACGGGUGCGUAACGCGUGGGAACCUGCCCUUAGGUUCGGAAUAACUCCCCGAAAGGGGUGCUAAUACCGGAUAAUGUCUUCGGACCAAAGAUUUAUCGCCUUUGGAUGGGCCCGCGUUGGAUUAGCUAGUUGGUAGGGUAAAAGCCUACCAAGGCGACGAUCCAUAGCUGGUCUGAGAGGAUGAUCAGCCACACUGGGACUGAGACACGGCCCAGACUCCUACGGGAGGCAGCAGUGGGGAAUAUUGGACAAUGGGCGAAAGCCUGAUCCAGCAAUGCCGCGGGAGUGAUGAAGGCCUUAGGGUUGUAAAGCUCUUUUACCCGGGAUGAUAAUGACAGUACCGGGAGAAGAAGCGCCGGCUAACUCCGU
rnacentral:rRNA from 1 species